CCAAUCUGCCGCAGGCGCUUGGGCACUUGAGGGGGGUUGCUCCUAGUACGAGAGGACCGGAGUGAGGGAACCUCUGGUGUACCAGCUGUUUCACCAGAAGCAGCGCUGGGUAGCCAUGUUCCCAAGCGAUAACCGCUGAAGGCAUCUAAGCGGGAAGCGCGCCCCAAGAUAAGGUGCCCCUGAAGGGCCCUGGUAGAUUACCAGGUUGAUAGGGUGCAGGUGUAAGCGCAGAAAUGCGUUGAGCCGAGCACUACUAAUAGCCCGUUCGGCAUAGCUAUCUU
rnacentral:rRNA from 1 species